rnacentral:tRNA from 1 species
UGGCCUAUGGAGUAACUGGUAACACGCCUGGUUUUGGUCCAGAAGAGCCUAGGUUCGAGCCCUAGUAGGCCAACAA